GCGCUCAGGGGACAGCCCCAGCCUCCGGUCCCCUCGCGACCUUCCCAGCCCGCCGUCACUCCAUCCCCUGCGUCCUUCGCUCCCCGCCUCUCCUCCAGCGAGUGUCUCCAGCGCGGUCCCUCACUUAGCCGCUGACUUUCCUCCCUCGCCCGGCACUCGGCACUCCUUUCCUCCCGUCCCGAGUCGCGCCACGCUAUUCCCAUCCGUCCCCCGCAGGGUGAGGGCUUCUGACAUUGGAGAAGGACCCUCCGGAAUGUUUGCGGGCCGGCAGUGA
rnacentral:lncRNA from 1 species